rnacentral:misc_RNA from 1 species
GAAAUGCGAUAAGUAGUGUGAAUUGCAGAAUUCAGUGAAUCAUCGAAUCUUUGAACGCACAUUGCGCCCCUUGGUAUUCCAUGGGGCAUGCCUGUUCGAGCGUCAUUUGUACCCUCAAGCUCUGCUUGGUGUUGGGUGUUUGUCCCCGUCUCCGCGCGUGGACUCGCCCCAAAGUGAUUGGCAGCCGCCGUACUGGUCCCGGAGCGCAGCACAUGUCGCGCAAACGAGUGCCUUGGUACGGCGGCGUCCAUAAGCCCCUCUCUCACGCUCUUGACCUCGGAUCAGGUAGGGAUACCCGCUGAACUUAAGC